ensembl:lncRNA
UGAAUGAAUAAAUAAACAGCGGGAAGUCUCUUGGAGUUAAUCACCAAAGUAUCAUUCAUCUUUUUUUCUCUCUAUAUAUACAUAUAUGUAUGUAUACCUUUGUGUAUUAAUAAAUGUAGAAAUAUAAUUAUAUAAAUAUAUAUGCAUGUGUGUAUCUAUUAACUUUCAAUGCCUUUUGUAUGCUCUGAACUAAGUUAUCUGUUUUGGAAGAUAACUAAAAUUACUAUAAUAGCUAACUUUUGUGGUGUGUUUACUACAUACCAAUAACUGUUCUAAGCUCUUUAAAUAGUCUAACUCAUAUAAUUCCCACAACAACCCUUUGUGGGAUAAGCUAUCAUUUUUCCAUUUGACAGGUGGAGAAACUGAGACAUAGGGAGUUUGAAUACUUUGCUCAAGUUUUCAUGACUACUAAAGUGGAAACAGGGAUUUCCCAUUGUGGCUCAGCAGGUUAAGAACCCAACUAGUAUCCAUGAGAAUGUGGGUUUGAUCCCUGGCCUUGCUCAGUGGGUUAAGGGUCCAGCACUGCCACAAGCUGUGGUGUAGGUCACGGAUGCGGUUUUGAUCUCUAGUUGCUGUGGCUGUGGUGUAGGCCAGCAGCGCCAGCUCCGAUUCAACCCCUAGCCUGGGAACCUCUAUAUGCUGUGGGUACAGCUGUGAAAAGACAAAAAAAUGGGGGGGGGGUGGAAAUAGGCCACUGCCUUCCUCAUAGAGUGAUUAUUAAGAUUUAAAUGGGCUCAUAUUGGGCAGAUACAGCCCGAAAGAAAGAAAGAAAGAAGAAAAGAUAAAGACAAUUUCCAAAAUUGCUGAAUGAGAAAAUUAUAUUCCUCUCCAUAAUUUGUCUCCCCUGGAGAGAAACUGGUCAUCUCCCCUAUAGCCCUGAGUAACCUGAUUGUUUUAAAUGUAACCCAAAUAAAAUCGGGUUGCCUUGAGGCCAGCCUCUGUCUCAGCAUAUCCAAAAGAAACAAAAAUCUAAUUACCAAAACCCUUUAAAAGCACUGAAGAUCUCUUGAGAUGACGGUAAGGGGGGAAUUUUAUCAUGAAACAUACAGGAAGGCUAAUUAAAUUCUAAGUCACAAACUGUUCUUUCCAAAAAUCUGUCUUUUUAUUUUUUCUCUCCAGCCUUCCAGCCCCUGUCCCAUUGCUGGUCUGUCUUACUCUCUCUCUCUCCCCCUUCCUCUUCCGACCUCAUUUGUGCUCACAAAUGGUGCCACCGUUCUUUCCACCCUCCUCACCCUGAACAGCCAACAAAGACCCGAAAAGUCAAGCAAGCAAUGCAGGAACCCCUCCACCCCACUUCGCCAGGAGACACGAAAGAAGGCAAAUUGAAAAUACUUAUGAUUCAUUUAUUUCUGACCACAGUUCCAUAACAUAGGCACUACUAUUAUCCCCACGUUUCAGAUAUGUGAAGUGAGGUUAACUUAAAGUCACACAGCUGAUAAAGGCAGAGGCAGGACUUGAAUCUUGACCUAUCUGAACCUGUAGCCAGUGCUCUUAAUCUCUUUACUAUACUGCAGGUGGUUCAUGGACAAACACAAUGAUGAGGAACCUGUCGAUCUGGGGGAACUUUUACUGGCUUCAUGAACAGCACUGGAGAAAGAGGCUAUGAUGGGACUGUGAAGAGUUUAACAUGCUUUGUUGAAGACUUAAGAUUGUUUUGAAGGUUUUGAGAAAACACUGAAGAUUUUAAUCAGGAGAGAUUUUAAUCAGGGACAUUUUAAACUUGAGCUGUUUUGUUUUUUAGAACAAUGACUUUGAUGACAUUGUAGAGAGUGGACUGGUAUCCCAAAGCCACCCAAACCUUUCUUUUUUCUGCUUGGUCAAUAAGUUUAUUGUCUUUAUCUGAAAAAUCUUCAUAGAAAAUUGUGGUUUGGUUUAUUAGCUCUUAACAGCCCACUCCUGAGCAUACAUUAUGGUGGAACUCCUGUACCGAGAUACAUGGGAAGGAUUAAAGUGCAUCCUGGGAACCUUUCUCUAGAGAAAAAAAGAAUAGAUGUGCCAUGUUUAGUCCAGGGUCAUAAGAUAAAGCUUUAAGGGAAGGAUAAUGAUUCUAAAUAAGAUCGGUUUAUCAUUAAGAUUGCCUUCUGUCUCAGACUCCAUGAAUCCAUACUCAAGUCCUAAGGUAAGAGAGCUACAAUAAAGAACAAAUACAAUCUUUUUUUAAAAAAAUAUGGAGUUCACUACCAUAAAUACCUAUGAGGCAGCAAGAACUUAUUUUUCAGCAGCAUCAGUAUAAACAAUCUCCACAAGGAUGGGAAAACAAUGCCCUGAGUUCUGGCACCCGUAGCAACGGCCACACCUCAAAGGGCUCAGCAGGCAAGGCCUUGGGCAUUGGUAGGUAGCAGCGGCAGUGAAGUAUCUCCUGUUUUUGACAAUGAUGAUAAUGCAUAUCACUAGAGUAAAUGAAAGUAGGAAAAUAGAGCAAUGGCAAGUCUUGUGGCGUAGCCAAGAAGACUGACUCCCAGCCUGCGUGUGAAACACUCCCUGGAGAAUACCAAAACCAUUUAGAGCCAGUCUGAGGGGAUAUAAAUUCCAGUAGUUGGCUAGGGGUGGAGCAAAAGAAAGUCAGUGUUGUGACAGAUAUUCUGGCCCUGAAUUUUACCCUCAUCCUGGGACUGUGUAGUCUGGGAACAUCUAAGGGUCCACUGAAAUGGUAUAGGUUAGAGAUAUAGGGCUGAAGCACAGAAGGAAGAAUGGGCGCUAAGGGGAGGCGACAGAUACAAGAAAUGGUUAAAAGGAAAAUUGUCAGAGUAUGGUACCUGGGUGUAGACAGUAAGGGUAAAGGAAGAGCCUUAGGUGACAUCCUGGUCAAUGAUGUGCCAUUAACCAAAACAGAAAAAUGAGGAAGAGGAGCUUGAAUGGGCAGAUGAUGAAUUCUGCUCUGGGACGGGCUGAAUUGGGGGAAAUAGAGUUGAUUAAAGUGGAGGUACAGUUUCACACACGUGACAGAAGAGGAACACUUUAAAAGGUAUUUACAUACAGGUUGUAAAUGAACCCUCAGGGUAAAACAAGUCAUGGAAAUUAUGCUAAGUGAAGAGAGAAGAAAAACAAGAGUAAGUCCUGGAGUGAUGCUCAUAGUUUGAUACUUGUUAGUCAACUGAAUACUGACACUAAAAGACUUUUACAUGUCAAAAUAUCAGGUGAAUAGGGCCAGAGAUCAAAAAAUUAAGGGGGAAAGUAAAAUAAUAUGAUCGUGAGUUUGUUUUUUAAAGGAGCAUGGGUGAUGUAAUCUAAAGAGUUUUAACGGAUACUUCAACAAAAUCCCUGUGGAAGGACAGCUCAUGUCGGGAUCUGCUCAUAGAUUAGUGUUCAAUUAAGAAGAUAGGUGUUCCCGUCGUGAGCUGUGGUGUAAGUCACAGACUCGGCUCAGAUCUGGCGUUGCUGUGGCUGUGGUGUAGGCCAGCAGCUGCAGCUCCAAUUCGACUCUAGUCUGGGAACCUCCAUAUGCCGCGGGCGUGGCCCUAAAAAGCAAAACAAAGAAACAAAAAUUAAGAUCUUUUGAUAUUUCAAAGCCUGGUGGACCGGAUAUUUUCAGCACUAUCAGUCUCUUCCAAGUGACUCAGCACCUGAGAAACGUAGAGUCACUGGGGAAGAGGCUGAUUCCAGUUAAUCUUUUCUUAGGACAAGGCUCAGCUGUCAGAACAGGGAAAAUUCCCUUUCACUUAGCCAAACAAGAAUGAUAUCAGGGUUGUAUUAAAAGCACAGUUGGGGUGAAUCCUCAUCAUCUAGCAUAAUUUCAACUUGCCCUGUAGCAUCAUCAUUCAAGUUAAUUAUAAAGUUUUUCUCCAAUCAGCCAUCUUUAUCCUUCUAAAUGUGUUUUCCUUCUGGCCUGAAAUUUCUACAGGAAGAGUCACUGACUCAUAAAACUUUAGGGCAGCCAUAGAAGGUAAGGUUCAACUAGCUUAAUCUCUUUAUUUAGAUGAGGAUAGUUAAAUGCAGAGAGGUUAAAACAAAUUCCCAAUGAAAUGCUUUCCAGGAUGAAGUAGAUAACAUGAAUGAUUACAACAUGCCUUGAAUCUGCUUUUUAAACACCCAAUUUUCACUCCUAACAUGAAAUAUGCCCUUUUGUUUUUUGGAAAUAAUGUGACCUUCAUGUCCUAGCUCUCCUCCCCUGAACACUUCCAACAGAGACAUGGAAACAAAAUAGUAUUUCUAACUUCAGGAAAGAGAAGCAUUCAUUAUAAGGAGGAUAAAGUGUAUGACGUCAGUGUUGAGGGUCAGUAGGGAAUUAACUAGACAACUAGCUGGACAAGUUCCAUCCAGAAGGGUCAGUUUCUCUCCAGCUUCAGUCAAUAGUUGUCUUGAAGUACUGUGAAGCUAUUGCUGCCAGACCUUCUAAAUGUGCCUACUUUUCUUUCUCUCUUUUGCCUACAGGCUGCUCCAUGCUCUUUCAAAAGACCUUAACUCAUCUCCUGAAAAUAGGCUGUUGACCAGGAUGAAGGCAUAAAUAACUUUCCUAGAGUUUCCCUGUUAUUCUUGGAGCAUCUGUUGGUUUUCCCAUGUUUCAGAUGGAUGUAGAAUGUUCCAGGUGUCUUCAGCUUAGGUCAUUUGGUACACAACACUCAUGUUUCAGUUCUGUCUGCUUCUCCCAGUUUCUCUUCUUACAGACUAUUUUCUGCAACAAUUUCAACCACCAAACCAAACAGAUUUUCAACAAUCAUAUAGAAGUUCCUUCAUAGUAAAUAAUGGAUUAGGUUACCAGAGCAGUGUGAUAGGGCAAUUUUUCAGAAGUUCACGGUUUAAAAAUACAAACAGGAGUCAGAAACAAUUCAACACAUACUUAUCUCUAAGAGUAUCUACUUGAAAUUAGAAGGUUACCAGUGUUAAUAGAUUGUGGGUAGCAGUUCCUGUGGUGGCGCAGCAGAAACAAAUCCCACUUAGGAACCAUGAGGUUGUGGGUUUGAUCCCUGGCCUCACUCAGUGGGUUAAGGAUCUGGCAUGGCCGUGAGCUGUGGUAUAGUUCGCAGACACGGCUUGCAUCUGGUAUUGCUGUGGCUCUGGCGUAGGUCGGCGGCUAUAGCUCCGAUUAGACCCCUAGCCUGGGAACCUCCAUAUACCAUGGGUGCGGCCCUAAAAAGACAAAAAAAAUAAUAAUAAUAAUAAGAUUGGGGGCAAAUCCCAGAUUAAAACCCAAAUAUGUGAGAGUAUUAGUUGUCUAUUGCUACACAACUAAUUACACCAAGUUUUAGAAACUUAAAACAACACACAUUCAUUAAUACACACAUUCAGUAAUCUGGGCAAAACUUAGCUGAGACCCCUGCCUCAGUGUCUCUCAUCAGGCUGCAACCAAGAUACUGGCUGAGGCUGUAGUCUAACUUCAAGGUUCAACUGGUGAAGGAUCCAUUUCCAAAUUCAUUUAUGGAGUUCUUGGGAGGCUCCAGUUCUUUCAGGCUGUUGGACUGAGGGCCUCAGUUCCUCCCUGGCUGUUGGGUGGAGCCCAUCCUCAAUGCCUUGCCACAUGGGCCUCUCCGGUAUGGCAGUUUGCUUCAUCAAAGCCAGCAAGAUAAUCUGCUAGCACAAAGGCAAAAUCUUGUGUAAUCUAAUCACAGAAGUGACCUUCCAUCAUCUUUGACCUGCUCUAUUAAUUAGAAACAUGUCAUUAGGUCUGUACACAUUCAGCAGAAGAGGAUGAUAUGAAGCAGGAAUCACUGGGGGCCAUUUAGAAGUCUGCCUACCCCAGUGUGGUUUCAAAUAUACUUCUCACUAUACCAACUAGAGCUUAACAUCAGUUAUAAGGAAUUUGAACUUUAUUGUGGCCCUUGAAAUGACUAGAGGGUUGGGAAAUAGAAAUGAAUUCGUUCAGAUAACACAGGCUUCUGUAACAAAUAAACCCUAAAAUGUCACUGGCUUUACACAAACUAGGUUAUUUAUUAAUAUAACCAUGGAAAGUGGGUGUUCCUGAUCAGGUGCAUCUCCUGAAAGUGGUGAUUCAGGGACCUGGGCUCCUUCCAUCUUGUGGCUUAACUAUCUUCAAAAGAUCACCCUGGAGACUGUCUCCACUCCAGGAAUCUAGAAGGGGGAAAGGGCAUGAAGGAUUCCAUCUGAGACGUUUCUGUGGAUCUGACCUGGAAAUGGUGCUU